UCGCCUUCCUUCACCCAGAUCACCCCAGAGAUUUGCUCGACUUUACAGGUGGAACCGAAGAUAAAUGGAUUAGCCAGGUGAAUAAACCUGUAUUAAAAAACCUUCUGAAAAAAUCAAUUUGAGAGAGAAGAUUUGGGAAAAUAAAAUAUGAUCAGCUGUGUCGGAGAGCUUGAAUAAAUCGAUGCCCGCAAGUCUGGUCAGCCGGCCGCACGAGAAGCCACAAGCUCAACAUCCUGAGGAAAACACAGAUCAAAACCACGAGAUACCACUUCACACCCAGGUCACCCCCAUCAGCCUGGGUAUGACCCGAAAAGGAAAAAUAAGUGUUGGUGAAGAUACAGAACAGUUGGUGUCCUUGUAUGUCCCCUGUUGGUAGAAAUGUAAAAUGGCACAGCUGGUCUGGAAAACAGCAUGGCAGCUCCUCAGAGAAAUCUAGAACUACUCUAGGACCCACAGUUCCA
rnacentral:lncRNA from 1 species